AACCCGAGAGACUCUUCAUCAUCAGCCUUGUUGAACAAAGCAGACCAAAAAAAAAGAAGUGUCAUCUGUAAAAUCAAAAUUCUCCGAUUCAUUCAUUGAUCAGAUCAGCCAUGGAACUAGACGACGAGGUGUACAACUGCGAAAGGUUUGCCAAGUAUUACCGCGCUCUCUGUCCUGGAGAAUGUGUUGGUCUCCAUUAGUCUUUUGCGUGAUACACAUAUCAACACUCCUCUACUUUGUGAUUCGUCCAACAAUGUUUGUCGCGUAUCUUAACGCAGGUUGAGAAGUGGAACGAGCAGAGGGAGAGUGGGAAUUUUCCAGGUCCUCUUUGAACCAGGCUGGUUCAUCCAUGAAUCUUGAUGAUGAGGCAAUCAAAUUCCACAAUGAUGGUACAUGUGUGUUUGAAGACCACUAAUACUUAUUUUUUGUAAAGCUGAAAUAAUAAUAAUGAAAUGAUAAGUAUACGUUUAAUUUUGGAUUUAUUUUGAGACAAAGUCAUCAUCAAUGUUCAUUAAAUAAACUUAAUUAGCAAAUAAAUGGAAUGCUUCCAAUUUUGUUUCA